AACGAACGCUGGCGGCGUGCCUAACACAUGCAAGUCGAACGUGAUUGGAAGCUUGCUUCCAUGAAAGUGGCGCACGGGUGAGUAACGCGUAGAUAAUCUACCUGAUGAUCCGGGAUAACACUUCGAAAGGGGUGCUAAUACCUGAUAAGCUCACGGGGUCUUCGGAUUCUGCGGGAAAAGGAGGGGACCUUUAUGGCCUUCCGUCAUCAGAUGAGUCUGCGUACCAUUAGCUAGUUGGUAGGGUAAAGGCCUACCAAGGCGACGAUGGUUAGCUGGUCUGAGAGGAUGAUCAGCCACACUGGAACUGAGACACGGUCCAGACUCCUACGGGUGGCAG
rnacentral:rRNA from 1 species